rnacentral:rRNA from 1 species
UACGAAGGGUGCAAGCGUUACUCGGAAUUACUGGGCGUAAAGCGUGCGUAGGCGGUUCGUUAAGUCUGUCGUGAAAGCCCUGGGCUCAACCUGGGAAUUGCGAUGGAUACUGGCGAGCUAGAGUACGGUAGAGGAUGGUGGAAUUCCCGGUGUAGCGGUGAAAUGCGUAGAGAUCGGGAAGAACACCGGUGGCGAAGGCGGCUCUCUGGACCGAGACUGACGCUGAGGCGCGAAAGCGUGGGGAGCAAACAGG